UGGGGGAUAUUGCACAAUGGGCGAAAGCCUGAUGCAGCGACGCCGCGUGGGGGAUGAAGGCCUUCGGGUUGUAAACUUCUUUUGCUCUGAACAAGGCGCACCAUGGGGUGUGUUGAGUGUAGGGGUUGAUUAGCGCCGGCUAACUACGUGCCAGCAGCCGCGGUAAUACGUAGGGCGCGAGCGUUGUCCGGAAUUAUUGGGCGUAAAGGGCUUGUAGGUGGCUGGUUGCGUCUGUCGUGAAAGCUCAUGGCUUAACUGUGGGUUUGCGGUGGGUACGGGCUGGCUUGAGUGCAGUAGGGGAGGCUGGAAUUCCUGGUGUAGCGGUGGAAUGCGCAGAUAUCAGGAGGGAUACCGGUGGCGAAGGCGGGUCUCUGGGCUGUUACUGACACUGAGGAGCGAAAGCAUGGGGAGCGAACAGG
rnacentral:rRNA from 1 species